UAUUUACAUGUCCCCUACAAAUUAAGGCUAAGAGGUCUAACUAACUGGAAAGUAUGGCUUUGGUGUGAUGGGAGGAAGAUAAAGAGAAAUACUUAAUGGAAGCAGAAACCACUUUUGCCCCAGAUGGCUCAGCACAGCCUUGCCUAGGUGAAGAGACCUCUCCAAUGAUCCUGUCCUUAGCAGUGCCCAGGGAGGAAGAAUGGAGACUUUAUACCCCCGAGCCAAAGGCCCCCACAUCUGUUCCUGUCAGGCCCCCAUCAGGGGACUUGGGCAGUGUUCCUGUUAUCUGCUCAAGAUCCCAAGACUGUAAAAGUACUUGUUCACUGAAAAGGUGUAAGUGUGGAUGUUUAUUUGAUGUUUGUAUGUCUACUUAGGUGUAAUUAUUUGUUCGUGUAAGUGUGGAAGUCUG